AGUUCGGCUUGUGAAAACUAGUUGCGCGUUGUGAGCACUUCCCUGGCUUGGAACGCAGAGGAGCUGUGUGCGUUUACACAGAGGCUGAACGGUGUUGCUCAGUUGCUGAGGUGAGGUCGGCGUUUGAAGAAGAGGGGAUUUCACGGCUUGGACGAGAGGUGGGAGGCGAAGGCAGAGGUGUGGACGUCUUGAUUGGAACCGUGAGAGUCUAGAAAGAAACUUGCGAAUAAAAAACAGACGUUCACCUAGAGCUUGCGUGCAUGGGAGAGGGAAUAGUAGUAAAAAAAACUAAAGCUCUCUUCAGCCUUAUUUUAACGAAGGAACUGUGCACUCGGCGAGGCAAAGUCCGCUCAAUAUUUCGCUUCAGCGGGAAUUACGGGAUUUAAUCCAAAUUCAGAGAAGAAAAUCCGAAGAGAUACGAGUUGAUUCAUGUGAGGAAAUCAUGGAUGUACAUGCAGAACUGCUUCAUAAUACAGGAGAAUGAGAGGCUUAAGAAGAAGGUUCAACUUCUCAACCCAAAGAAUCAGGAAUACUAUGUAAGAUCAAGCAAAAUCACUCGAAAUCUAGUCAAGCUUGAAGCAGCAACUCUAAGCGAAGCCGAAACAAAAUGCUUGGCUUUGAUGGUCAAGCCACCGGAAGAUCAAACUGAUAACUCAAUCGCAUUCAACUUGAUGACAGGACAUGAGACACCGUUUGCACGAGGAAGUGUUGGGUAUUGGGGAGCAUUCCGCAGAGGUAUCUUGUCCUCAUUUCUUUCAUAUCUCAACUCCAAGUUGUUUUCUGCAUUCACCUGUAUUUUAUCAAUUGAGCUAUUUAAUACAUCUUAAAUGAAUAUAAUAUGUAUGUUUAAGACAUGAGAUAUUAACAUGUAAGCCUCUUUUAUGAGUUAUAUAUAUAUAUAUAUGU